GUUGAACGCUGGCGGCAUGCCUAACACAUGCAAGUCGAACGGCAGCACAGCAGUAGCAAUACUGUGGGUGGCGAGUGGCGGACGGGUGAGGAAUACGUCGGAAUCUGCCCAGUCGUGGGGGAUAACUAGCCGAAAGGUUAGCUAAUACCGCAUACGACCGAGAGGUGAAAGCGGGGGACCGCAAGGCCUCGCGCGAUCGGAUGAGCCGACGUCGGAUUAGCUAGUUGGCGGGGUAAAGGCCCACCAAGGCGACGAUCCGUAGCUGGUCUGAGAGGAUGAUCAGCCACACUGGAACUGAGACACGGUCCAGACUCCUACGGGAGGCAGCAGUGGGGAAUAUUGGACAAUGGGCGCAAGCCUGAUCCAGCAAUGCCGCGUGUGUGAAGAAGGCC
rnacentral:rRNA from 1 species